CCUACGGGAGGCAGCAGUGAGGAAUAUUGGUCAAUGGACGAGAGUCUGAACCAGCCAAGUAGCGUGAAGGAUGACUGCCCUAUGGGUUGUAAACUUCUUUUAUAAAGGAAUAAAACGAGGCACGUGUGCCUUUUUGCAUGUACUUUAUGAAUAAGGAUCGGCUAACUCCGUGCCAGAAGCCGCGGUAAUACGGAGGAUCCGAGCGUUAUCCGGAUUUAUUGGGUUUAAAGGGAGCGUAGAUGGGUUGUUAAGUCAGUUGUGAAAGUUUGCGGCUCAACCGUAAAAUUGCAAUUGAUACUGGCAGUCUAGAGUACAGUUGAGGUAGGCGGAAUUCGUGGUGUAGCGGUGAAAUGCUUAGAUAUCACGAAGAACCCCGAUUGCGAAGGCAGCUUACUAAACUGUGACUGACAUUGAUGCUCGAAAGUGUGGGUAUCAAACAGGAUUAGAUACCCUUGUAGUC
rnacentral:rRNA from 1 species